UACGUAGGGUGCGAGCGUUGUCCGGAAUUAUUGGGCGUAAAGGGCUCGUAGGCGGUCUGCUACGUCGGGAGUGAAAACUCAGGGCUCAACCCUGAGCCUGCUUCCGAUACGGGCAGACUAGAGGUAUGCAGGGGAGAAUGGAAUUCCUGGUGUAGCGGUGAAAUGCGCAGAUAUCAGGAGGAACACCGGUGGCGAAGGCGGUUCUCUGGGCAUUACCUGACGCUGAGGAGCGAAAGUGUGGGGAGCGAACAGG
rnacentral:rRNA from 1 species